rnacentral:rRNA from 1 species
AAUGAACGCUGGCGGCAGGCCUAACACAUGCAAGUCGAACGGAUCCUUCGGGAUUAGUGGCGGACGGGUGAGUAACGCGUGGGAACAUACCCAAAGGUACGGAAUAGCCUCGGGAAACUGGGAGUAAUACCGUAUGUGCUCGAAAGAGGAAAGAUUUAUCGCCUUUGGAUUGGCCCGCGUUGGAUUAGGUAGUUGGUGGGGUAAUGGCCUACCAAGCCGACGAUCCAUAGCUGGUUUGAGAGGAUGAUCAGCCACACUGGGACUGAGACACGGCCCAGACUCCUACGGGAGGCAGCAGUGGGGAAUUUUGGACAAUGGGCGCAAGCCUGAUCCAGCAAUGCCGCGUGCAGGAUGAAGGCCUUAGGGUUGUAAAGAUCUUUCAGGUGGGAAGAUAAUGACUGUACCACCAGAAGAAGCCCCGGCUAGCUCCGUGCCAGCCGCCGCUGUAA